UACGUAGGCAGCAAGCGUUGUUCGGAGUUACUGGGCGUAAAGGGUGCGUAGGCGGUUGUUUAAGUUUGGUGUGAAAUCUCCCGGCUCAACUGGGAGGGUGCGCCGAAUACUGAAUGACUAGAGUGCGGGAGAGGAGAGGUGGAAUUCCUGGUGUAAGCGGUGAAAUGCGUAGAUAUCAGGAGGAACACCGGUGGUGUAGACGGCUCUCUGGACCGUAACUGACGCUGAGGCACGAAAGCGUGGGUAGCAAACAGG
rnacentral:rRNA from 1 species